CACACGGGUGGCAUCUGCUCUCAGAAAACUUGGAGCGCCCCCCCUUA
rfam:Hepatitis C virus isolate PTR9415 polyprotein gene, complete cds